rnacentral:lncRNA from 1 species
UACUCUCAGGAAUGAAUCAUUGCAAGCAAGUACAGGUGGAGUCCCUGCUCAACCUCACCAAUGCCUUAUUUAUGGAGCAAGUUGUACUCAAGCUAACUAGGGCGAACAACAUUCUGGAUCUCUGCUUCAUGAACAAUAUGGACAUCAUUUAUGAUGUGAAAGUGACACCGACAUCAGUUUCGGAUCACAACAUAAUAGAGCUGUCUAUGUUUGGGCCAAAAGUAACCAGAGACAUACAGCCUAAAGGAAGCACCCGAAAUCUCUCCAAUCUGAACUUCCACAAAGCAAAUUUGAAAUCGAUCCAAAAAGAGAUCCUCAGAGAGGACUGGCCGGAAUGUCUCUCCACACCAGACAUUGACAUGAAACUAGAAUGUUUCAUGUCUUCUGUGCAAGCCGUAUGCCAGAAAUAUGUCUCAGAGCACAAGGCCAAAACAAAUAGGAGCAAGAUUCCAAGAGACAGGAAGAUACUCAUGAGACGACGGACGAAGGUUGCAAAUCGUCUCAACCAACAUCCCAAAAGUAGCGAAACGUCCCGCCUAAAAACAACACUGAUGGAGAUCGAAAAAAUGCUGCAACAAUCCUAUGUGAAGGAGAAAGCAGACAAAGAAGCCUGGGUUAUAAAAAAUAUUAAAUCAAACCCAAAGGCCUUCUUUCAUUACGCGAAAGAAACAAUCUCAGUGCACUACAAGAUAGGACCCCUCCUCCAAAAGGAUGGCUCCCUCACAGACAGUCCAACUAAGAUCAGUGAGAUGCUGAAUGACCAGUUCAAAAGUGUCUUUACCAUCCCGUUGGAACACAGACAAGUGAACGAACCAGUGGACUUCUUUGCCGCCUCACCUAUAACCAGCGAGGCGGUUACAAUAGAAUGUAUUGACAUUAGUGAAAAAGAUGUCUUACUAGCCAUAGAUGAAGUGGACACAAACUCAGCUGCUGGUCCAGAUGGUUUCCCAGCCAUCCUCCUCAAAGCGUGUAAGCAUGCCCUGGCAAAACCCCUCAAGAUUCUCUUCCAGAGCUUUUUUGUGCUACACUGUUAUUACGAAGAACCUCAUCUAACAUGUGGCACUUGGUGAAGAAUGGAGUUUGAUAUAGCUACUGUCAUUUGCACCUCCUGCCGUUAGGUAGGUUCAUCUGGGACUCUCGACAGGAAGAUGUCCAGCUUUGAUUUAAAAACCGCUACAUCUACUUUGUGCAAGUUCCUCAGACUCUUUGGGAGAAUAUUAAAAAGCUGUGGGCCCUUGAAACCCAGGCUGUUGCAGAAGCUGGUGUUGAAGCGUGAUGGCAUUGCUGGGACCUUUGGCACUAUGCAGUGUCGUCCCGUUCUAGCAUUGGUGUAGCUUACAAUGCCAAGAACCACUGCUUUGGAGGAUCUACAGGAUUGCUCCCAUUUUAGAAGAGAGAGUGAGAUUCGGUGGAGCUGGAAAGCAAUGAAAAUAGUGAUGAUGAGGUGAGAUUGUGAGAGGUGCAUAGGAAUGAGAGGGGCAUUGGGGCCAGGAAUGAAUAGGGAAGUUGGUGAUGUGUGGAGCAAGAGUAAUGACGAUGCAGUAAACAGUAGGAGAGAGAGAGAGAGAGAGAAAGGACAUGCAGUUAGGGAUGGGAUGUAGAUAUGGAUGGGGGAGGGGAGUGGCAGGUGUGGUGUAUGAGGGAUGUGAGACAUACAGUGGUGAUGGAGGAGAAAUAAUUUGACGACACAGAGUAGGGGUGGGAGAUGGAAGUGAGGACAGAUAGAUCAAUAUUAAUGGAAAUCAAAUGAAGAGGUUGUGGGUGGUAAGUGGUGUCAAUGAAGAACUGCAGUUAGGGGUGGUGUAGGGUAUCUUGAGGAGGUGGAGGGAAAUUGGGCAAAGGUCCAGUUGUGCAUAUAUAUAUAUAUAUAUAUAUAUAUAUGAAGGCAUGCGGCCUAGUGGUUAGGGUAUUGCACUUAUGUUCACUAGAUCAUGGAUUCCGUUCCCUGACUGGGUGGUGUGUUAUGUUCUUUAGCAAAACACUUCAUUUCACAUUGUUCCAGUCCACUCAGCUGUAAAUAGGUAACCCUGUGACAGAAUAGUUCUGAUCAGAGGUAAUGUUGGUCUGCUCAUCUAGCCAGUGGGGUGGCAUUAUUCCAAAGCUAAAACGAUCUGAAGCACAUUGUGAUCAGUGAUGUAUAACAACACCCAAUAGUCUGGUUGAUAUUGUGAAACCAUGAGAUAUAUAUAUAUAAAGAGAGAGAGAGAGAGAGAGAUGCACACACACACACACAUAUGCAGCUCUACCAGAACUCCUAGGUGGGUGGGUCUCUUGAAAAGCUAUGGAGGAGGAGGAGGACGAUAUAUAUAUAUAUAUAUAUAUAUAUAUAUAGCGUUAGGAAGGGCAUCCAGCUGUAGAAACACUGCCAGAUCUGACUGGCCUGGUGCAGCCUUCGGGCUCCCCAGACACCAGUUGAACCGUCCAACCCAUGCUAGCAUGGAAAGCGGACGUUAAAUGAUGAUGAUGAUCAUGAUGAUAUAGUUAGAAAUGGGAAGAAGAGGAUUUAGAUUAUUCCCAUGUGGUGAGUUGUAAUGAAAAAAAUAUAUCAUAAAAGAAGGAAAAUGCACACAGCUUACAUAGUUUUAAUAUAUUUUCAAUGAAUGAAUAUCGUGGUUGUCAACCGGUUUCACUUUCCCUAAUCAUGACAUUGAAAUUAUUGUGAUAUUUUCUUAAGAAAUGAAUGAAUCAGGCUGAACUUUCAUACUCUCUCUCUCUCUCUCUCUCUCUCUCUCUCUCUCUCUCUCACACACACACACACACACACACACAAAAUUCAACAGUCAGAAAUUUAGAGAUUUCUAAAUGAAAUAUUUGACAAAACAGAAGAGAAGAAGGAGGUGCAUAUCAUAGAGGACUACUAGAAGUUUCUCUGGGACAACCUACAGAGGGUUAUAGACCAGUGCAAAGUUCUAGCCAGACUGAGGGUGACAUGAUUGUGCAACAGUGAGACAGCUAGGGCUAUAAAACUAAAACACCAGUUCUUUCUAAGAGUGGAAAAAUGGGGGUAGCAGAAAACUAUAUCUGGUAGCUUGAAGAGAAGCUAUGCAACAGGCUUACAUAGCAAAAGGAGAAUCAGAAAGUAGCAUAAGAAUUAGAGGCAUUAGGUGCUUUGAAUUGUAAGAUAAAGUAUAAGAGAAAAUCAAGAUGUUUUGAGUAAGAAGUGUGUAUGAGUAAAUAACGGUACACAUGCACUUAGUAAUUCUAAAAAAAAAAAAAAAAGGAGGCAAGAAAGUGCUUCCAUGAAAAGUUAUUAAACAUGCAGAACAGGAGAAAGAGAAUUUUCCCAAUGUUGACCCAACAGAAGGACCAGCAGCCCUACGUUGGCAGCAGUAUGAUAGAUAAGGCAAUUAAAGAUUUGACUGUAGGGAAAGCUCUUGGUCCAGCAGGAAUCACCAUUGAAAUGCUUAAACUAUCUGGCAGAGUAGAAUAUAGCCUAUUCAUAUGUAUAGUUAAUAAGGUAUCACAUCAAGUGUCUUGUGUAGAUGAUUUAGACAGAAGUAAUUGUAGACAUAUUGUUGGACUAGGUCAUGAAAGCUACAGAAAAAGUUAUGGAUUAACUGAUUAGGAACAGAAUUAGACUAGAUGAGAUGCGGUUUCGUUUUGUGCCAGGGAGAAAAUACUACAGAUGCCCUCUUUCUAGUAAGACAACUGGAGGAAAAGUAUUAAGAUGAAAGUAACCCAUCCAACUUGGCUUUGACAGAGUCUGUCACUAUAUAUGAUCUGGUGGUCUCUGAGGAAGCUUGGGGAAGAUGAUUGACUUGUGAAAGCCAUACAAGCCAUGAACAGGGAUGCUGUUAAUAAUGUGAGGGUUUACCACAAAUACUGUGAUGAAUUUAGAGUACAAGUAGGAAAUCAUUAGGGUUCAGUUCUCGGUCUCUUCCUAUUCAUCAUACUCUCCCUGGUUAUAUCAAGAACUUAAGACAAGCUGUCUUUGGGAACUACUAAAGGGCUAAAUUAACUUAGCAAGGGCCAAAAUUCCUGUAAGCUGGAAAAUAAGCAGGACUCUACUCAUAUCAGAUAAAUGGCCCUGUUUGAUGAAUAGGAAAGGUUUAAGCAGGAGUUCCACUUGGUGUGCCCAAUGCGAGCUAUGGGCACACAAGAAGUACAGUGGCAUCACAGGAAUUAUAAGAGAGAUUUUUAUGUGAAAGAUUUGCAAGAGCAAUAAAUACUAAGGACACAUGAGAAAUGCUUUAAAGGCUUCCUAGAGAUGGUAGUAGAUAGAUUCUGUUGCCUAGUUGACUUAAAGAGCAAUGGAAGAGAAUGUUUGGUAAGUAUAGUUGCUACAAUAAGAAUAGGUUGGGGAAAGUUCAGAGAGCUAUUAUCACUGUUGGUGACAAAGUGUCUCUCAAAGAGAAAAGGAGAUUGUAUGAUGCUUGUGUAUGAGCAGCAAUGCUGUAUAGUUGUGAGACUGUGGGCCCUGAAUGCAGAGAACAUGCAAAGACUAUAGAAGAAUGAAGCUGGUAUGGUCUGUUGAAUGUGCAACAUUAGUAUGCAUGUCUGACAAAGUGCACAUAUGUUGGGAGAAAAAUUGAGCAUAAAAGGAAUCAGAUAUAGUGUACAAGAGAGAAGACUGCAUUGGUAUGGUUGUGUGAUGCGUAUGGAUAAGGACUGGUAUAUAUAAGAAGUUCUGGUCGCUUAAAGUGGGUGGGACUUGUGGUUAAGGGAGACCAAGGAAGAUUAUAAGAUGAAGUAGUGAAGGCUAAUCUUAAGAUGUUGAGCCUUAUGGAAGAAAUGACAAAAGACCGAAAUGAUUGACAAUUUGCUGUGUUUGAGAAGACCUGUCCAGCACAGUAAGCAUGAGGUUCUAAAAAUAUCUUGUUUAUGUCUGCACAUGCUGAGCCCUACCCCUGCAUCUUUUCUGCUCUUAGAAGUAUUCCCCUUAUCUUGUUCUAACACCCAUCCUGCCAUCAUUUUUCUAGCAAUGGAAUUACUCAGCUUCUAUAAUCAUUUAAGAGGAGAUUUGUUACAUAUUUAAUCCCCAAUGUUUUUUUUUUCUAUUGUUUACCUCCUUUUUUCCCCUUGGAGCCACUUCCAAUCAGCAUCUAUCCUUUGUUCUCAUUGUCAUCCCUUCCAACACAAUUUCACCAAUUGGCCCCUUUCAAAGUCACCAGUUAUAUCUUCCUCUUCCCUGAGCUAUGUUUUAGGCCUGCCAGAUCUCAUCUUUAUCACCUCUCUUAUCUGCUUUCAUUCUCAGUGUAAACACUGAUAUUCCUCCCUACCAACUACAGUUGUAGCCCCCACUCCCUAUAAUCACUCUUAUAUUCAUUUGAUCUCCAUCACUACCUGCCUCCCUUACACAUCUUUCCCUCCUUUCUGAUCUGUCCUCCUUUGUGAGCCACUUCCAUCUCUCACAUUUUACCCCUUCCCUCCUAAUAUCCCCCCCCCCAGUCAACCAUACUUCCACCCUUGUUCAUCACUUACAAUAUAUACCUUUACCCCUAUCUCUGUAUGUUGCUCUUCUCUCAUACUCUUAUGAAAUGGCACCCCCUCUACCUCCUGAUUCACUAGCCAUAUCCUCACUUAUACUCACCUUGUAUCUUUAGGGAUCACUCUGGCACCUCAUCACCACCAUCCUUAUCUUCUUCCCAGCUAUUUCCACCCAGCCUUAAACAAUGUUGAUUUGCCAUGUAUUCAACUCGGGAUCAUAAGGUCAUGAGUUUGAUACCCUGGGGUUUACUCUGUCCUUGAGCAAGAAACUCGUUUCAAUGUUGCUCCACUUCACUCAGCUGGCAAAAGUGAAUUACUUCAAAGGGCCAGCCUUGUCACAUUCUGUGUCAUGUCCCUGAGAAAUAUGUUAAGGGUACAUAUGUCGCUGGAGAGUGUUCAGCCACUUGCAUGUUUAUUUCACAUGUAUAUAUGUGUGUGUGUGUGUGUGUGUGUGUGAGUAUAUAUAUACAUGUAUGUGUGUGUAUAUGUUUGUUUGUCUGUGUUUGUCCCCCCCCAACAUCACUUGACAACCGAUGGUGUUGUGUUUACGUCCCUGAAACGUUAAUUGAUGGGCAGAUCAACUGGAACAUUCAUUGUAAUAACUGAUGGACUGCUGUCUAUAGUAACACAGCUCCUUGUCAGAUUCUGUGUUACACGGAAUCUCCAGCAUGGCCGCAGCCAAAUGACUGAAACAAGUAGAAGAGAGUAAAAGAGGCUAUUCUGUUGAUCGGAUCAACUUGAACCUUGAUUGUCAUAACUGAUGGAGUGCCUUCUAUAGUAACACACACCUUGUCACAUUCUGUGUCACACUGAAUCUCCCUGAGAACUACAUUAAGGGUAGGUGUCUGUGGAGUACUCAGCCACUUGCACGUUAAUUGAUGGGCAGAUCAACUGGAACAUUCAUUGUAAUAACUGAUGGACUGCUGUCUAUAGUAACAUGCUCCUUGUCAGAUUCUGUGUUACACGGAAUCUCCCUGAUAACUACGUUAAAGGUAUACAUGUCUGGCAGAAACUUUAGCAUGCCAGGCGAAAUGCUUAGGGGUAUUUCGUCCGUCACUACGUUCUGAGUUUAAAUUCCACCGGGGUCGACUUUGCCUUUCAUCCUUUCGGGGUCGAUUAAAUAAGUACCAGUUAUGCACUGGGGUCAAUGUAAUCGACUUAAUCCCUUUGUCUGUCCUUGUUUGUCCCCUCUGUGUUUAGCCCCUUGUGGGUAGUAAAGAAAUAGGUAUUUCACAUGUCUGCGGAGUGAGUGUUCAGCUACUUGUACAUUAACUUCAUGAGCAGACUGUUCCGUUGAUCAGAUCAGCUGAUGGAAGACUAAGUCAACCUCUGCGGAAUUUGAACUCAGAAUGUAAGGACAGAUGAAACACCACUAAGCAUUUUGUCUGGCAAAGUAACAAUUCUCCCAGACAAAAUGCUUAGUGGUGUUUUAUCUGUCUUUAUGUUUUGAGUUCAAAUGCUGCUGGGGUCAACUUUGCCUUUCAUCCUCUCUGGGUUGAUAAAAUAUUACCAGUUGAUCAUCAUGGUCAAUAUAACCAACUUAUCCUCUCCCUUGAAAUAGCUGGCUUUGUACCAAAAUUUGAAACUGUUAUUAUUAUUAUCAUUGUUGUUGUUGCUGCUGUUGCUGUUGUUGUUGUUGCUGCUGUUGCUGUUGUUGUUGUUGUGAGCUGUCAGAAUUGUUACCACUUUUGGAUAAAAUGCUUAGUGGUGUUUCAUCUGUCCUUACAUUCUGAGUUCAAAUUCCACAUAGGUUGACUUAGCCUUCCAUCCUUUCAGGGUUGAUAAAAAUAAGUACCAGCUGAGUACUGGGCUCAAUGUAACUGACUAACCCCAUCCACCAAAACUUCAGACCUUGUACUUAUAGUGGAAAAAAUUAUUAUUAUUGUUGUAGCUGUUGUUCGUGUUGUUGAUGCUGCUGUUGUCCUCUUGCUGAGUGUACAUGACUCAGUGGUUAUUGCUUUCCUUUCUUGCCUCUCUGUUGUGUGUACAAGUGUAUACGUGUAUCUGACCUUAUGGGUAUGAAAGGGCAUGACAUUGACCCUUCUUCUAUUUACUAUAUCCUACUACCCUCUUGCCAAAUGUUCCACCACUCCACUGAUGUUGAUAAUUUGCAAUACGAGGAUAUAUUUUGAGUAACUUAACAAUAUGUAUUCUUUUACUGAACACCGAUGAGGAAAUUUUGUUAAGAUUAUGUAAUUUUCAUCAACUAAUUGUGUAAUCCUGUCAGGUGAUUUUAUGCAAUGCAUGUAUGCUUUAUAAAACUUAAAACACCAAAUAUAUUUUCUUUAUCUUAUUAAUGCUAUCAUGUAGUUGGAAUUCUGCACACUAGUCUUUUCUGUGAUUGGAUGCCCUCAUGUAGCUGCACUGGAUAUAACCUAUUACUGAGUUCAAAAGUUUGAUCACACAUCAUGCUAUUGGUUGGAUUCCAGGAUCAUUCAGCACAUACACACACAAAAAAAAUCAUGUUGCUCCUAUGGAGAACAUUUGUUCUCAGUUCAGUUACUUGGAUCACUACUCCCAAUUGUGGCUUCCACACUAAAAGCAGAACUCAAUUCAAUGCUGCUACACCAAGAAGGUUGCCUUGAUGCAGAAGAUGAGCUAUUGAGAGAGGCCAAAAAGACUAUGGUUACUUCCUAGAGAGAAGAUAUGAAAGAUAUGCAGUGAGGAAAAUAUGGAAAAUCCUAGAAUGUGUAGCAUCUAACUUUGGGUUUGAAAGCUAUACCAAUCACUAGGCUGGAUGCUACUGCAUUGUGUUAAAGAUCCCACUGUUUCUAUCCAGAGAAAGGAAUCAAUACUGUGAUGACUUAGGGUUCAAGGGCCCAUAAGCUUUCAAUAUUUAGCCUAAGUGCCUCAAAUAUCUAUGAGGUGUAGAUGUGGAUGUGUUCAAAGAAUAUUUAGACAAAUUUUUAUCUGAGAUACUACAUGAACCCAUAUUGUGGCAAGAAAUGCAAAGAAGGGCAGCUUUGUCCAGCUCACUGCUCCAUCAGGACUGAUUUUGGAGAUGGAAUUGGGUAAUGAGUUUAAAAUAAACAAGUAUUAACAUUUAUGGUAGUACCCCAGCAUGGCCACAGCCUCUGGUUGAAUGGUUGAAGUCAAUAAAAGAAUAUAUGUAUGAGUGUGUUUACUUCUGAAUGCUGACUAAGAUACUCUGAUGGAAUGUGAUCAAAUGAGGUUUAUUUUUCAACAUAAUCCCCCUUGCAGUCCACACACUUCUUCCAUUAGUGUUGCAGCAUUUGGAUCCCAUUGAUGAAAAAGCAUUCAUCCUGUUUGUCAAAAAAGUCAUCAACAGCUGAUAUGAGAUCAUCAUCACUGCAAAGCUGGUUCCCAGCCAAGUGUUUCUUCAUAUUUUUUCUGGGCAUUUGGUCUUGAUAGCCUUUCAUAACUGCCUCAGCAAGUUGGCAUAGUACUCUCCAUUGAUGGAAAGGCCCUUUUGAAGAUAGUCAACAAACACAAUGCAUGCAUUUUGGAGUGCUCAGCAGAAUAUUCUUAACUCUCUCAUGAGUUAUGCUAAUUGUAUUGGCUAUUUGAUUUAUAGUCAGCUGCCAUGUAGUGAGCAUGAUCAAUGUUUUCCUUGUUGGUAGCAGUUGUAGAACAUCUAGAUUUUGGGUCAUAUUCAAGGCUCUUCCUUCUUCUAAAAUCAACUACCUACUUUUGCUCUGUUGAUUAAUGUAACAACUGUGUCAGCAUGAAUGUCCUUGGGGGCUAAACUCUUUUUCUGCAGGUGCUUGAUAAACACCACAAUGCCAAAUUUUGCCCAUUUUUGAGAGAAGUUACUACUAGUUAUUUUUGAAGUCUUCUUUGAACAGUUGGAUGUCUGUUUACCUGGAAAGAAACAGUGCAGUUAAUUAUUAAGUGGAGGUGAAAUUAAAGCAUGCAAGAUUUCAACAGCUCUAACAUCACUCAUUCAUAGUCAGCCUAAGAACUUUUCUGCUCACCCUCAUACAUAUGAAAGAUCCUAGAAGGACUGGCACUGAACUUUGGCAUUGAGAUUUUUAUCAGCUCCUGAACAGGAUACCACUGCACAGUGCCAAAGGUUCCAAACACUCCAUCUAAAAUAAGUUCCAGAUACUGCAAUAACUUGACUUUUGAGGGUCCAUAGCUGUUUGAUAUCUGACCAAAAAAAACUGAGGUUGGAGUAGAUAUUUUCAAGAAACACAUUGACUUUCUGCUGUUCAAGAUCCUAGAUGAGCCUAUAUCAUGUUAAGAAUCUCAAAUGCCUGCAAUAACAAAUCCCUUCAUUCAUAAUUGGUUAUUGAAAAAGUGAUGAUGAUGACAGGGCCUCACUAGUUAUGUACUUUUCGUAUGAGGUUUGUGAAUAUUGUAAAGGUUGAAUGUAGCGAAUGGAAUUUAUGUUGUAGUAGAUGAACAUGCAGCUUAGUGACAUUAAAUAUAAAGCUUUCUAGGACUUUUUGUGGAUGUAUAUAGCUACAAACUGUAUGGACUUGAAACUAGAACCCUAUUUAGGUUUAUGGCCAAAUUCUUUGAUGACUGGUCUAUUCAGAUGCUUUGAAUGACUUUCAAUGCCAACUAGAUGCACAAAUAUGACUCUUGGUUGAUUUUUCUCAGUUGACCA